rnacentral:misc_RNA from 1 species
AAGUCGUAACAAGGUUUCCGUAGGUGAACCUGCGGAAGGAUCAUUGCAAAUCGAGAGGCGUGAGGUGUGUGGUGGGACCGUGCGAAUGCGGAUGCGCAUGCGCAUGGUGUUGCCAUAUGCCCGCGCUGACAUAUGGUCGGGGUUGGUGGAGAGUGGAGGGGGCCGUGCGCAAUGCGCGUGGUGUCUUUCAGUCUCUGCCAUUCCGUAUUCACGCUUGUAUUGUUUGCCAGAGUAUGUAACACAAGACAAAAUUGACAACUUUUAACAAUGGAUCUCUUGGCUCUU